UAGGGUGGUUAUAGCGGUGGGGCUCACCUGUUCCCAUUCCGAACACAGAAGUUAAGCCCACCAGCGCCGAUGGUACUGCUA
rnacentral:rRNA from 1 species